rnacentral:rRNA from 1 species
GGAGUUAGCCGGUGCUUCUUCUGUGAGUGAUGUCCUUCCUGCCGGCUAUUAACCCGCAGGCCUUCUUCCUCACUGAAAGUGCUUUACAACCCGAAGGCCUUCUUCACACACGCGGCAUGGCUGGAUCAGGGUUGCCCCCAUUGUCCAAUAUUCCCCACUGCUGCCUCCCGUAGGAGUCUGGGCCGUGUCUCAGUCCCAGUGUGGCUGAUCAUCCUCUCAGACCAGCUACGGAUCGUCGCCUUGGUGAGCCGUUACCUCACCAACCAGCUAAUCCGACAUAGGCUCAUCCGAUAGCGCGAGGCCCGAAGGUCCCCCGGCUUUCCCCCGUAGGGCGUAUGCGGUAUUAGCCUGGGUUUCCCCCAGGUUAUCCCCCGACUACCGGGCAGAUUCCUAUGCAUUACUCACCCGUCCGCCGCUCGCCACCAGGGAGCAAGCUCCCCGUGCUGCCGCUCGACUUGCAUGUGUUAGGCCUGCCUCCAGCGUUCAAUCUGAGCCAGGAUCAAACUCUGA